GACUCAAAAGUGUCUAGCAACUUUUAAAGUAACAACCUCUCGAAUCCAAUGUACCUUAUAAGCAGCAUGAGGGAUACAUAAAUAGGUUUCCUUAUAUAACAGUCCAUCCUUCAAGGUGAAUUCUAUUAGCAAGCCUUUUUUCAAUUUCUAGAACCCUUCUUAAAAAUUUGGAUCUGUUACAUAUAUAUUCCCUUAUACACCUCAUGAU
rnacentral:lncRNA from 1 species